CUACGGGCCGCUGCAGUGAGGAAUAUUGCACAAUGGGGGGAACCCUGAUGCAGCAACGCCGCGUGGAGGAUGACGCAUUUCGGUGUGUAAACUCCUUUUAUAUAUCAAGAAGAUGACGGUAGCAUAUGAAUAAGCACCGGCUAACUCCGUGCCAGCAGCCGCGGUAAUACGGAGGGUGCAAGCGUUACUCGGAAUCACUGGGCGUAAAGGACGCGUAGGCGGGUUGGAAAGUCAGGUGUGAAAUCCUACAGCUUAACUGUAGAACUGCACUUGAAACUUCUAAUCUAGAGUAUGGGAGGGGGAGAUGGAAUUAGUGGUGUAGGGGUAAAAUCCGUAGAUAUCACUAGGAAUACCUAAAGCGAAGGCGAUCUCCUGGAACAUUACUGACGCUAAGGCGUGAAAGCGUGGGGAGCAAACAGGAUUAGAUACCCUAGUAGUC
rnacentral:rRNA from 1 species